rnacentral:rRNA from 1 species
UACCUGCAGCUCGAGUGGUAACCGCUAUUAUUGGGCCUAAAGCGUCCGUAGCCGGUUUGGUAAAUAUCUGGGUAAAUCGUGAGGCUUAACUUCACGAAUUUCGGAUAGACUGCCAGACUUGGGAUCGGGGGAGGUCAGAGGUACUCCAGGGGUAGCGGUGAAAUGUUGUAUCCUUGGAGGACCACCGGUAGCGAAGGCGUCUGACUAGAACGAGUCCGACGGUGAGGGACGAAGCCCUGGGGCGCAAACCGGAUUAGAUACCCGGGUAGUCCAGGGUGUAAACAAUGUGGGCCUUGUAUUGGAGGUCCCACGUGGGCGUCCAGUGCAGAAGAGAAGUUGUUAAGCCCACCGCCUGGGAAGUACGGUCGCAAGGCUGAAACUUAAAGGAAUUGGCGGGGGAGCACGGCAACGGGAGGAGCGUGCGGUUU